rnacentral:rRNA from 1 species
AGCUCCAAUAACGUAUAUUAAAGUUGUUGCAGUUAAAAAGCUCGUAGUUGGAUAUCUGGCGAGUGAUGACGGCCCGCCUACGGGAUGAGCGCUGGAUUCGCGAGCCUAUUUUUCGGUUUGUGGCCUUUCCCUUUAUUGGGCGAGGUUUUUCACGAUCCGGAUCUGUUACUUUGAAUAAAAGCGGGUGUUCAAAGCAGGCUUAUGCCUUGCAGUUUGCAGCAUGGAAUAGCAACCAUAGGACUUUAGUGUUCUAUUCGUUGGUUCUGGGACCUAAGUAAUGAUUGAUAGGGACGGUUGGGGGUGCUGCUAUUCCACGGCCAGAGGUGAAAUUCUCAGAUUCCUGGAAGAGCAACUUAUGCGAAAGCAUUCACCAAGGACGUUUUCU